rnacentral:sRNA from 1 species
CUGGAAAAUGGGUUUGACCCAACGAUGCGCCUACCUCUCCCACGCAAUUCUAUGUGCUCAAUCUUGUAAGGAUUCAACUGUAACUACAAAUAUUGAUGAGCUCCGUGAUCGGCUCGACGUGGCAAAUGUUCAAAUGAGAAUUAAAGAUGCUCUCGGCUGCUCGGCGUCGGCGUCGGCUCGAAAUCAGGAAUUCGUCAGAAAACUCGAUGGGCCGAUUCUUUCACUGCAAGAGUUGCUUCUUCAAUACGUUGUACCAUUUAAGCUGCACAAAAUCAAGCUCUCACUGCUCCAUUGUGCUGGAAUGUAUGUGGAAAAGCAUAUAUUCGAAACGUGGGAGGAUAUCAUCCAAGAUGG